rnacentral:lncRNA from 1 species
CAAGCUCGGCUCGGUUACAGAAGUGGGGGGCAAGUGAUCUGCAACGAAACCAACCACGACUCAUGCAAGGGGUUGGCCAACUAAAGCUCGCCACAGAGCUAGUGCACCACCAAUUGGGGCUCGCCAUAUAGCACACUCAGAAGCACACGGCCGACUUCGAAAAUCAAAAACUCCUUACAGUUGGCGACAUCCCAGCUGAGAUCCCAAGCGAUCUCUGACGUCACACCAACCAAACAGGCGGGGCACGAUUCGUGUGCGAAACAUCCGCGCCCAAUAUUCGAAACAUGCAGAGGCCUACCAAUCCUGGCCGACCCACAUGUCCGAAUUCCAAGGCGUCAGGCCCUCGCCUUCGCCUAUACAACCAACUCUCAGGAGGAUCUUUUAGGUAGUGCUCGGGCGCCCUGACAAACCACUGAGCAACUUCCUCUAUUCCCUGAGUAUUAUUCUGACUUCGGUAUCGAAGGAUCCCCUGCCGAAUACACUCCAACAAAAGGACUUCUUCACCUUUACUGUUUCAGGUCGGAGCGCAAUCGCGGACCAGGAUCCCGGCUAUAGCCGUCCGCCUCAAGCCGCAACCCAGCAUAAUCCGAGCAGCUGAUCGCAGAGCCCUCCAGCACCAAUACCUCACUCGCUUGGCACCUAGGAUAGGCCGGUCCCCAAUAGCUAUAGAGAUAUUCACUGCUUAAACCCUAUUGAUAGUUUUUUCUUUACUAAAAUUUAGCUAGCAUGUUUAUGAUACAAUAGCAACAUAUGUCUUAUGAUUUAAUCACUUUAUUCAAAUGCUAUUUUGCAAACCCAUUAAAGCCUUAUGUAUCAAAAGGAAGCAUCAACCCAUUCCAUUGAGUGCUUACCUACUCCUUUGUGUCGUGUACCCAUUAAUUAAACAAUUUACCACAAAAGCUUAAGCAAAAAGGAAAAGGAUCAAUAAUUUAUCCCAAUGUUAGCACUCAUCAAGAAAAAAAACAUAGACCAUGCACGUGUAGAGACACAAUAGCUAAGAUGAAUCAAGAUAAUAACUGAGUUAGUUAAAUAAAUGAUUAGCAAUUCGAACUCCUGACCUCCACCAAACAUGUUUUCUGAUACUAUGUUAACUAACCAAUUUAUCCCAAAAGCUUAAGCUGAAAGGGAAGGGGUCAACAAUGCAUAUCAGGCUUGUUACCUUACCAUUAGACACCAAAAACUAAAACUAAUAGGAAAACUGUCGACAAUAUAUAUCACGCUUGACACCCCCUCACAUGCGGCCGAACUAUGCAAAUAAAGGGAUAACUCAGUUGAGACUGACCAAAGGAUAACUGAGUCAAGAUAGACUAAAAUCAUGAUAACAUAUAACUAGGGAUAAUUAAAUAAAUAAUUGAAUUGGAAGGGAUUCAAACUCAUGAUCAAGAAACCUGAGCUCUGUCUAGUUGUAAGUUAAUGACCCAAUAAAUUCUAGUAAAAACUUAAAAAUAAAUCCUUUAUAUAUCUUAUUAAACAUGUUUUCUUUUCUGUUCUUGAUCAACGCAUGUCCUGUACACAUUAACUACUUGUUUGUGGGCAUCUUGAAACAUUUGAAUACUUGCUUUACUCCAUCAACAAAUCUCCAAGCGAAAUGUGUUCUCGUGCAAUACAACUCUAAAAAUAAGGCUACCAUCAUUAUAAUCCCAUCAAUAUCUCCGUUAUAACCCAUCUUGAUCCAAAGAAUUUACCUUCAAUUGAUGCUUUCUAUUCCCUCAAAGACCAUUCCUCAAUUUUUUCCACUCCUUUUUAAUCAGCUCAUUCUAAGCCCUCUUUCUUCUUUCACUGAAAAUUACCACUUCCUUUUUCUUACCCAUCCAACAGUUUCCCAUUGUUCAGGUUUGCUCACACUAGCAUGGGGAGUUUUGGGCAGGUUAUAAUACAAAGCCAAACAUUGAACUCUUGACUCAAAUACUUCACUGUGAGACAACCAAAUUAUCCAACAUACUGAUAGGGUUGGGGCAUGUUUUAGGUCAGCGUGACUUGAUUAUGACUCAUUACAAACGUACAUACAAGGUUCGCCGUACCGAUACCGAACCCCGUACCGGUGCCGCACUAGUAUAGGCGUACCGAGUGUCGGUACGGUACCGUACGCUCGGUACCGACCGUACCGACAUUGGUGUACCGAUACCGGUACCCAUCGGUAAGGGUACGGUACGCUCGGUACCGACCGGUACAUCGAACCUUGCGUACAUACAUACCUAUAUAUGUAUGUAUUUGUAAAUAAUACAACAAACGGAUGUAUAUCAUAUGUUAGAUGAUAUAUAAUAUAUAUUUAUCAAAUAUAUGGGUUUUAAAAAAGAGGUGAACCAAUUGCCAAAUCCCAUUUUUUCUCACUCUCAAUUCCUCGCUUCUGCUCCUUUUCCCUGAUCCUCUCCCUGCAGGAGUCAGCACCAGAUCAAAUGAGUCCCUUUCUAGCCGUGCCUC